rnacentral:rRNA from 1 species
AGUGAACGCUGGCGGCGUGCUUAACACAUGCAAGUCGAACGAGAACGGAUUAUAGCUUGCUAUAAUUGUCAGCUAAGUGGCGCACGGGUGAGUAAUGUAUAGGUAAUAUGCCUCUUACUAAGGGAUAACAAAUGGAAACGUUUGCUAAUACCUUAUACUCCUUAUUAACAGAAGUUAAUAAGGGAAAGAUUUAUUGGUAAGAGAUUAGCCUGUAUUGUAUCAGUUAGUUGGUGGGGUAAUGGCUUACCAAGACUAUGACACAUAACUGGUUUGAGAGGAUGAUCAGUCACACUGGAACUGAUACACGGUCCAGACUCCUACGGGAGGCAGCAGUGGGGAAUAUUGCACAAUGGACGAAAGUCUGAUGCAGCAACGCCGCGUGGAGGAUGACACAUUUCGGUGCGUAAACUCCUUUUAUAUGAGAAGAUAAUGACGGUACUUGAGGAGGAAGCCCCGGCUAACUACGUGCCAGCCGCCGCAGUAA